CCACCACUCUGAAUGUAGUGCACACUUAAGAAUUUAUAUGGAUCAGCGUUGAGGCUGAGACAUGUUCUUUUAUAACUUGUGACGUAGCGAGCGUUUGAGAUAUCUAUCUAAACGUGUCGUUGAGGCUAAGGCGGGGACUUCGAGUCCCUAAAUAAUUGAGUCGUAUGUUCGCGUUGGUGGCUUUGUACCCCACACAACACGUACAUGUAACUCCGAGGCAACUUGGGGUUAUAUGGUCAAGCGAAUAAGCGCACACGGUGGAUGCCUAGGCGGUCAGAGGCGAUGAAGGACGUGGUAGCCUGCGAAAAGUGUCGGGGAGCUGGCAACAAGCUUUGAUCCGGCAAUAUCCGAAUGGGGAAACCCACUGCUUCGGCAGUAUCCUGCAGUGAAUUCAUAGCUGCUGGAAGCGAACCCGGUGAACUGAAAUAUCUAAGUAACCGGAGGAAAAGAAAUCAACCGAGAUUCCCUAAGUAGUGACGAGCGAACGGGGAGCAGCCCUUAAGCUGGAAUGGCUUUAGAAAAACAAUCUGGAAAGAUUGGCCAUAGAAGGUGAUAGCCCUGUAUUUAAAAGGGCCACUCCAGUGAAGACGAGUAGGGCGGGGCACGUGAAACCCUGUCUGAAUAUGGGGGGACCAUCCUCCAAGGCUAAAUACUCCUGACCGACCGAUAGUGAACCAGUACC
rnacentral:sRNA from 1 species